GAUCCUGGCUCAGGAUGAACGCUAGCUACAGGCUUAACACAUGCAAGUCGAGGGGCAGCAUGGUCUUAGCUUGCUAAGGCCGAUGGCGACCGGCGCACGGGUGAGUAACGCGUAUCCAACCUGCCUUACACUCUUGGACAGCCUUCUGAAAGGGAGAUUAAUGCAAGAUGUUAUCAUGAGUAAGCAUUUUCGUAUGAUUAAAGGUUUACCGGUGUAAGAUGGGGAUGCGUUCCA
rnacentral:rRNA from 1 species